UUUCUCUCUUCUGCUUUCUUCCAAUAUAAAUGUCUAUUUAUAGUGGUUGGACAGCUUGAUCUGAAACAUACAUCAGAAUUAACUAGUAAUGGCGGGGUGUACAGUUAGUCAGAUGAGGCCACCUACGGAGCCGAAGCCAAUGAGGCCACCUACGGAGCCGAAGCCAACGAAGGCUUCCCCCCACAAGUUCGCGAUUAUCACAAAUGAAGCAGAUAGUUCUAUCAAUCUUGAAGAGCGAAUGUACACCGGGAUCUUCUUGAAACGGAAAAGAAGGGUAAUUUAAGCCAUCAGGUUUCAGUCUCUUUGCGUUUCGUUUGAAUCAGUUCAAGUUGCAAAUUUGUACCAGAAUAAUUAGGAAUUUGGUCAUCUGAUAGGCAGGCUGAAUUUUCUUGAAUUUGUAUGGCGAAAAGGGUUGUAAGUUUAUUCUGAUUCGCAUUGUCACAUAAUGUCUUAAAUGAAGAUCUUUCUUCUUUUUCUUUUUUCUUUUUUUCUGAAAAAUGGUAGAGAGGGUUUAGCUUGAUCUGUUCAUUAAGAUAUCUGCUCACCUUAGUUCAUGCUUUGAGUUGUCAUUCAGAAAU
rnacentral:lncRNA from 1 species